rnacentral:lncRNA from 1 species
AGAGGGAGGAGUUAAGGAGACAGACAGAGAGAGAGAGAGAUCUGAGGAGAAGAGGGAGAACCAAAAUGGAGGCUGACGUGGUGUUAUCAAAGGAUAUGUGCAAGAUGAGAGCCAGCCAUCGUCUCCUGAUAGUGGAGAUUUGAUCUGAAGCAUUCAAAUAGGAAAUGAAUGCUCAGAGGAAGCUUCAAAUUUCUUUCUACUUGAAGAAGCUGAAUUGCAGAAGCUAUCUCUGUCCUGUUAAUCACCGGGUCCACAGUGAAACCAGCCAACUUCAGAGAAGACUCUUGUGCUGCGUGACCCCUGACUGUAACCAAGUGUCCUUCUCUCUGAGACGUUCCCUCGGAGCUUGUUCUCACAGCCCUCACCUCCAGUGACCUCCACGAACUUUUCCACACGAGGGGUUCUCUGCUUCCCUCCAUCUGAGCUGCGCAAUUCCACCAGGCCUUUUGCUCCUCUUCAGUCAGGUGCUUUGGAGGUAAUGAAGUCUUUCGGGGGAAAAAUAAACAAAGGAAAUGCACCCGGUUGAUGUCAAUGGACUUGUUUAACUAUUUAAGGCCACUGUCUCCAAGUGUAAGUGUGCUGCGGUGUGUUUUGUAAAGUAGCGCUUAUAAUCCACUGAGCUUUCCAAACAGCCCUCUUGCCUAUUAAGCCUGCAUUGAGAAGUGGGUUUAAUUUGCCAGAGUAGUUUUUUGUGAUAAUUACAGGACUUGCAGAUUAGCUUGAGUGACUUGGCAAGGUUCUGUAGCUAAUAAAAAAUCACACAGGAAAAAAAUUGUAACAUUCAAUUGCUUCAAGGUUCUUCACGAGAGAAACAUUAAACAAACCUGAUAGGCCAGUUUCCAGUCUGUGAAACUGCACCGAAGGCUUGCUCACAUGAUUGAGGUCAGAUUGCGUUCUCCACUCUUACACUACCCAGAAUCCCCUUCCCAAGGACUAGUGCCACUGCAAUGGGCAAGUUCCCCACCUCAAUAAAGAUAACCCUACAUCAUAUUUUACAGCAGGACUUUGGGUCCCUAACCUGCAACUCAGCACUCAGUCCAUCAUGGGCUUUGCUAGUCUCUGUGACUUCUCCAGGGCAGGAAAGUGACAGGUUUCUGCGCAAGGGAGCCCGAGGUACCUGGUUCAGGAUGGAGAGGGCACUUGAGAGGCGUCAAAAGCAAGCACAGUUAGAGGACAUCAGCGAUGUUAAAACCCCACGAGGGUCAACAGUAGCCCAGGCAAAAUAAAGGAGCCUGAAGUGGAAAAACAGAAAUGGAACAAGACGUUUGUUCUGGAGCACGUGAGAUUGUCCUUCUAAGACAUUUCCAGAAGUAUUCAAAGGAAGAUUUAAUGGGAAAUCAUUAUGCAAAAGAGUCAGUAAUAUAUUUUAGUUUCAAAAAGUACGGAGCGUGACGCCUGUCAAUUAUACCUUCUGCAAAGGUGAGUGGCGGUUGUCCUUGCUGUUCCAAAAUGCAAAGAGAAACAAACAAACAAACAAACAAGCAAACCAGCUACUCCUAUUCCGCACUCCAAACACCAAGCAGAAAUGCUUCUGGGACAAACUGAGCUUCAUUCUUUAUGAAAAUGAAAACACUUCUUUCUGUGCACUAGGAAAAUGUUCUGCCUCUGAGCUGCAAAACCAGCACCAAACUUGAAAAGUUUGUGCAUCAAAGGAAAAAGGCAACCUACAGGAUGGGGGAGAAUAUUUGCAGGACACAUGUCCUGGAAGGAAUACAUAUUUAGACUGAAUAAAAUGAGUAAGAGGAGGGAUAGGGAGUUCGUGUUCAAUGUUGAGAGCUUGGGACAGUUGAGAAAACGCUCCGGAGUGUUCUGCAGAUGAAUGAUGGUGACGACUGCAUCAGUGUGAAUGUCCUUAACGCCGUCAAAAAUUGGUUAUAAUGGCAAAUUUUAUGCUACAUAUGUUUUACUACAAUAAAAAUGCCAGGAAAAUCUAACUGCUCCAAAUCCUGAAUUUAUUAACCCAAUAAAUUAGGAGAUGGUUAUUGACCUAUAAAUGGAUUUGUCAAUUUUUAAAAUGAUUUCCUUUAAAUUGAAUUCUUUCCUAGAGCUUUAUUGUCUCUUCACAAACCAUUAAACACUUGUUAAAGUGUUCAGAGAGGGCUGAGAUGGAGGAGGAAGUGAAAACCAAACAAACAGAUGAGGGACCUUCCCCAAAUGAUGUCUGCUAACAGGCUUCUUGGGUAUUCUAUUUAUAUAGAUUUUACAAGUGUUUUAUUUGAGAGGAAAAAUCCCUAGACCUUACAUAGUACAAUGAACUUCUUAUGCCUGUCAGCUAGAUUUAUUAAUUUUUAACGAGGUGUAUUACUUUUAAAAGCUAUCUAUUUACUAUUGGGGGAGGGAGAAGGACAAAGGACAUCUUGCAGAAGUCUGGUCUCUCCUGCUAUGUGGGUUCUGGAGAUAGGAAAUCAGGCAGGUUGUCAGGCCUAGAAGCAAAGGCCUGUCUGCACUGAGCCAUCUUACUUGUCUUAUUUUGUUACUUUUGAUGACCUAUUUUAGACAUCACUAUUCUAUAGCCCUAAGUAUAACUUCAAGUAUGUAUCUUCCACAAUGACUUUAUGACCAUGAAAUCAAUUCAAGAAAUUUAACAUGUAUGCAGUUCUAUCCAGCGUACAUACAGAUUUCUCAUCCCCCCUUUUACUGUAGUUUAUAGAAAAAGCAAUUCUCUUCCAUAUCUAGAGUUUGACAAGGAAUAUGCAUUGCAUUUGGUUUCUGUGUUCUUUAAUCUCUUGUUGUACAGAACUUCAACCUUUCAUGACAGGUUGAACAAUUUUGGAUCAUACAGGCUGUCAUGGUUUGAAUAUGUUUGGCCCAGGGAGUGGUACUGUUAGGGGUGUGGUCUUCUUGGAAUAGGUGUGUCACCGUGGGCGUGGGCUUUAAGACCCUCAUCCUUAGCUUCUGGAAGUCAGUCUUCCACUAGCAACCUUCAGAUGAAGAUGUAGAACUCUCACCAUCUCCUGCACUAUACCUGCCUGGAUAUCGCCAUGUUCCUGCCUUGAUGAUUAUGGACUGAACCUCUGAACCUGUAAGCCAGCCCCAAUUAAAUUUGUCCUUAUAAGAGUUACCUUGGUCAUGGUGUCUGUUCACAGCAGUAAAACCCUAACUAAGACACAGGCCAAUUACAGAAUGUCUCUUUUUGGUGUGUGCAGUGUUAAAGUUUGAAGCACAAGCCUAAUGCUUGUUAGACAAGCACUCUACCGCUGCUCUACAUCAGCAGCUCAGUGUGCCUCUUGUCUUGAUGGGCUCAUUGUUUUUUAUGACCCAGUGCAUUGGGGUGAGCAGCUCACACAGGUACGAAGGGGUCCCUCUCAGAGCUUAACAUCAGGGAACUCAAUGUUGGUUUGUCUGUUCUAUUUCAGCUGAGCUAGUAUCUGGCAGUUCCCCACAACCCCCAUCAAGUUACCACUUUUUUCUUUGUAAUUGUAAUUUGCAAAGAAAUAUUUGCAAGAUUAAGUAAUAGACUACACAACGUGUUUUAGCUUCCACUGAGCAUUCAGCCUGAACUGUUUUAUAAAGUUAUGAAAUGAUAGAUUUCCAACUUAAUAAUUAUUUUAAAGACUUAUUUUAUUUUUAGUUCUGCAUGUAUGCCUGUGUGUGCACGUGUGUACCUAUGUAUCUGUAUGGUUAUGUGCACAUGAAUGCAGAUGUCCAAGGAGAAGAGGCCAGACACAUUGGAUCCCUGGUGCUCAAGUGGGAGGUGGCUGUCAGCUGCUGUAGGAAGGUGAUGGGAACUCAGCUUGAGUCCUUUGCAAGAACAGCAUGAGCUCUUAAACACAGAGCCACAUCUUCAGUCCCUCUCUUAUUUUUUUAAAAAUUAUUCUCUCUCUGUGUAUGUGUGUGUAUACAGAGGUCAGAGGAUCAUUUUUGUAAAAUUAGUUCUCUCUACCUUUUUUUGUGGGCUCUGGGGACUAAACUCAAGUUGUUGGGAUUUUGUGACAAGUGCUGUAUCCACUGAGCCCUCUCACAUGCCCUUAAAUGUUAUUUUAAAUAAUAGCAAAUGAGUACGUUCAAGCAUACGAGAAUAAGCAUGUCCUAUUGAUUUGAAUAUGCAAAAGUAUGCCAAUUUUUUAAAUCUCUAUUACCAAGUGGACAAGUAUUCCAUUUUAUCUCCAAAAGUAAAGAUUUCUUUUAGAUACAGUCAUGUGGAUUAUACAACUUGACUGAAGCCAUGUCUCCAAGAUACAUACCUAGAGGGUAAAGGGAAUGCUUUAAAGGAGCGUGAUUAUGAAUAUCCAAGCUGAAAAUAAACACUAAUUACUAACAAAAAGGAUUACUGAGAAAAAUAUGGGUUGGUUUUCAGUACUUGACUCUGUAAAGUUAUUUCUUUUCUUAUUUAGUUUUUAUUCAUAAUCAUAAACUUAACUUUGCCAUCCAGCUAGACUUGAAGGGGAAUGAGGAAAAUAUGGAACCCAAAGAACUUGAGCAGAGAUUACAGGGUAUUUCAAGCAGAUGGGGUAGGGAUGCUCUCCUGCGCUACAGAAGGAAUGGUUGGAUGGGUAAAAUGCCUGCAAGUCAAAAGAAAUUAGAGUUAUCCACAGUCGGAAAUGGUCUUGCUGGUCUUUCCAUUCCUGGACCCAAAACACUCCAUGGCUUCCACAAUGUUCAUGCCUUCUUUCACCUUCCCAGACACCACAUGCUUGCCAUCCAGCCACUUAGUCUUGGCAGUGCAGAUAAAAAACUGGGAACCGUUUGUGUUGGUCCAGUAUUUGCCAUGGACAAGAUGCCAGGACCUGUAUGCUUCAGGAUGAAGAUCUCAUCCUCAAAUUUCUCUCCAUAGAUGGAUCUGCCGCCAGUGCCAUUAUGGCAUGUAAAGUCACCACCCUGGCACAUGAAUCCUGGAAUAAUUCUGUGAAAGGAGGAACCCUUCUAGUAAAAUCCUUUCUCUCCAGUGCUCAGAGCAUGAAAGUUUCCCGCUGUCUUUGGAACUUUGUCUGCAAACAGCUGGAAGGAGACUCUUCAAGGGCUCGUCAUCGGCCGUGAUGUCAGAGAACACGGUGGGGUCGACUGUGGCUACAGCAAGAGGACCAACGGUACUGUUGCUCUAGCUACAGGAAUAAUCCUGGGCAGCACUUGUUGACCUUGGUCACUGUCAAGGGAAGAUCGGCUGUUCCCACUGAGGGCAUCUUGAUGGAUUAAGGUGAUCAGCUGAUCAAUGUGAGGGGACAGAUGGGAGCUAGGAACUGUCUCGGUACUGAGUCAUUUUUCAUCUAAUGUGCAAGAAACCCAAAGAGCACAUCAAACAGCGAACUACGCCUAAGCUAUCCAUGUUUCUCCUGCUUCUUCUGAGAGGGUGAUUUACACGUAGCUCAACACUCGAGUGUUGCAGUAUCGAGUGACUGCAACCAAACAAUGGAACAUGCAUCGUGCCUGUUGACAGAGCCUGCAGUUGGCUUGGAACCGGGACCAUGCUGCAUUCGACAUCGUUCCUGGUGGCUGACUUGUUCCCAUAGAAUUAAAUGCUAGGCAUCCAGAAGCUGACUGUGCAUCUGAUGGGCUCACUAACAUUCAGGAACAGGUUGGCCUCAGACUUCAUCAAUGGAAAGUGUAGGCAUAGGACAAAAAAAAGAGCACGUUUGAAAGACUACAUUUUCAUGAAAUUGGAAAUGCUACAUGCAAGCUGCAGAUGCUGAUUGCAGAGUCAGAAGACAUGGCCGUCAGUGUUAGGACUCUGCCUUAUUCUGCUAUUUCUCCUUGACGACCUACAGUUUGCAUUGUGGGUGGCAUUCAUUAACGAGGGCAGUAAAAACAUGGAGAAAACAUUGCAAGCUCUCCUUCGUGUUUCGCUCACUGGCCAAGUAGCUAACCAACUAGGUGUUCAGGCUCCCAUGUGUCUCAAUAUGAUGUGGCUCCUUCCAGUAGCAACCAUCCUGAGCAGAGACCUUUGUUCUAAUUUAAAAAUUAGACAUGAUAUAGAGCUUACCACACAUUUUUCCCCCUGAAGAUUAAAGAUCUUCAUGAAGGUACUGGCUUAAAAGACAUCAACCCCAAGCCUUUCGAAGGAUAUGCACUUGAGAUUGCCAUACUCGAUGGUGCGUCCAAUUAACUUAGAAAUACCCUUGACAUUUCUCAUCCGUGAAGAGAAGCUUUAGGUGACAGUUUUCAUGGUGUGGGUACUCUCGGUGCCUAAUUUGCUUUUUUUUCUUGUUUUCAAGCCUGAAAGGGAAAUAGCCUUGGCUUUCAGCUCUGGAGCGCGAUGCCCUCCUUACGAGUAUUCAGCUACUGUCUGAACCAUUGUACUUGCCUUCCCCUCCAUACCCCUUUUUCCCCAAAGUCCCGUUGAUAGCUCAUU